UACGAAGGGGGCUAGCGUUGCUCGGAAUCACUGGGCGUAAAGGGUGCGUAGGCGGGUUUUUAAGUCAGGGGUGAAACCCUGGAGCUCAACUCCAGAACUGCCUUUGAUACUGAAGAUCUUGAGUCCGGGAGAGGUGAGUGGAACUGCGAGUGUAGAGGUGAAAUUCGUAGAUAUUCGCAAGAACACCAGUGGCGAAGGCGGCUCACUGGCCCGGUACUGACGCUGAGGCACGAAAGCGUGGGGAGCAAACAGG
rnacentral:rRNA from 1 species